rnacentral:rRNA from 1 species
UACAUGGAGUGCAAACGUUGCUCGGAAUUACUGGGCGUAAAGCGUGCGUAGACGGUCAUGUAAGUCGGGUGUGAAAGCCCCGGGCUCAACCUGGGAAUUGCAUUCGAGACUGCAUGGCUAGGGUGCGGAAGAGGGAAGCGGAAUUUCCGGUGUAGCGGUGAAAUGCGUAGAUAUCGGGAAGAACACCCGUGGCGAAGGCGGCACUCUGGGACGGUACUGACGCUGAGACGCGAAAGCGUGGGGAGCGAACAGG